rnacentral:rRNA from 1 species
AUUGAACGCUGCGGCAGGCUUAACACAUGCAAGUAGAGCGAGCGGCGGACGGGUGAGUAAUGCAUAGGAAUCUGACCAUUCGUGGGGGAGAACAUCUCCAAAGGGAUGCUAAUCCCGCACACCAAUAGCUGCACUUAGGUAGGAUUCGCUAGUUGGUGGGGUAAAGGCCGACCAAGGCGACGAUCUGUAGCGGGACUGAGAGGAUGAUCCGCCACACUGGGACUGAGACACGGCCCAGACUCCUACGGGAGGCAGCAGUGGGGAAUAUUGGGCAAUGGGGGGAAGCCUGAUCCAGCCAUGCCGCGGGUGUGAAGAAGGCCUUAUGGUUGUAAAGCACUUUUAGUGAGGAAGCGUUACUCGCCGAGAAAGCACCGGCUAACUCCGUGCCAGCAGCCGCGGUAAUAC